GCCGCCGUGGUGAAAUCGGUAGACACGCUGCUCUUAGGAAGCAGUGCUACGGCAUCUCGGUUCGAGUCCGAGCGGCGGCA
rnacentral:tRNA from 1 species